UCACGAGUGGCUGAGUUGGUAAGGCAUCCGCCCCGGAAUGGCGCGAAGGAUGCGGGUUCGAGUCCCGCCUCGUGAU